rnacentral:rRNA from 1 species
GACGAACGCUGGCGGCGUGCUUAACACAUGCAAGUCGAACGGAAAGGCCCUGCUUUUGUGGGGUGCUCGAGUGGCGAACGGGGGAGUAACACGUGAGUAACCUGCCCUUGACUUUGGGAUAACUUAAGGAAACUGGGGCUAAUACCGGAUAGGAGCUACUGCUGCAUGGUGGGGGUUGGAAAGUUUCGGCGGUUGGGGAUGGACUCGCGGCCUAUGCGCUUGUUGGGGGGGUAGUGGCUUACCAAGGCUUUGACGGGUAGCCGGCCUGGGUGGGUGACCGGCCACGUUGGGCCUGGACUACGGCCCAGACUCCUACGGGAGGCAGCGGUGGGGAAUAUUGCACAAUGGGCGGAAGCCUGAUGCAGCAACGCCGCGUGCGGGAUGACGGCCUUCGGGUUGUAAUCCGCUUUCGCCUGUGACGAAGCGUGAGUGACGGUAAUGGGUAAAGAAGCACCGGCUAACUACGUG